GGAUAGUUUUGAGAGAAAUAAAAGAAGAAGAAAAAUAGUUUUGAGAAAUACAUUUAAUUCUUUUGUAUGCAAUUUUUUAGCUUUGGGCCGCUUCGGUCGGUCAUCAGGCCCAAAAAAGGCCCAAGUGGCCCAUCCGGGUUGAAGCCGACUUUAAAUUAGGGUUUGGUCACUAUAUAUGAUUGCGAAGCCCUAGCAUUUAGAACGUCAUCGAUUCCUAUUGUCCGCCUUUUCUUCGUUCGUGAGGCCAUUGUUGUUCCAUAUCAGAUCGGUUAACAGGUUUUCAAGAUGAGGGCUAAGUGGAAGAAGAAGAGAAUGAGGAGAUUGAAGAGGAAGCGCCGAAAGAUGAGGCAAAGAUCCAAGUAGUUUUUGUCUUUUUUAAAUAAAAGAGAAUCGUUAUUAUUUAGUCGCAACUGAUCUAGGAACAGUAAUAGUUAAAUUUCUUGUGUUUUUGUUGGAUUUUAUCGAGUUGUUUUAGUUUCAAUCCGCAAUUUUGUUUGACUUACUCCCACUGGGAUCUACAUUUAUAAAUUUGCUGUCUGGAGUUCCUGGAAUUUCGAUUGAUGAUACAUUGUUUGCUACUGGUAA